GCCCGUGAUGAGUGGCUUCGGGUCCGAGCGGUGAGGACACCAGCUAUCGCUGAGG
rnacentral:snoRNA from 1 species